CUACAUAGCAGGGUAUGAUGGAGGGGGUAAGGAAGACAGAGUGCAGUAUAGUCCGCUGAAAGGCAAGACAAGAUAGACAGAACAGGGAAAACAGAUCAACUGGCAAAGAGAUUUGCAGAGUGUCGGGUGACCGGCAAAGAGAUCUGCAAAGUGUCAGUUGAAGACGACGGGAGGGGUCGCAAAGGAAUUAAUGACUGGAGAAUAGCAUGCAGGAGUGGGUGAUCCCGGAAUAGCUGCCCUGGGAG